UGGGGAAUUUUGGACAAUGGGGGAAACCCUGAUCCAGCCAUCCCGCGUGUGCGAUGAAGGCCUUCGGGUUGUAAAGCACUUUUGGCAGGAAAGAAACGUCAUGGGUUAAUACCCUGUGAAACUGACGGUACCUGCAGAAUAAGCACCGGCUAACUACGUGCCAGCAGCCGCGGUAAUACGUAGGGUGCAAGCGUUAAUCGGAAUUACUGGGCGUAAAGCGUGCGCAGGCGGUUCGGAAAGAAAGAUGUGAAAUCCCAGAGCUCAACUUUGGAACUGCAUUUUUAACUACCGGGCUAGAGUGUGUCAGAGGGAGGUGGAAUUCCGCGUGUAGCAGUGAAAUGCGUAGAUAUGCGGAGGAACACCGAUGGCGAAGGCAGCCUCCUGGGAUAACACUGACGCUCAUGCACGAAAGCGUGGGGAGCAAACAGG
rnacentral:rRNA from 1 species